rnacentral:rRNA from 1 species
AUGAAUGCUGGCGGCGUGCCUUAGGUAUGCAAGUCAAGGGGGUCCGAUUUAUCGGACAACCGGCAGACGGGUGAGUAACGCGUAGGAAUCUACCUCUAGGUGGAACAUAGCCCUCCGAAAGGAGGGGUAAUUUUCCAUAGUCUCGUAAGAGUAAAGGACUUAACGGUCCGCCAAGAGAGGAGCCUGCGUCCUAUCAGCUUGUUGGUGGGGUAAAAGCCUACCAAGGCGAUGACGGGUAGCUGGACUGAGAGGUCGAUCAGCCACAACUGCACUGAAACACGGGCAGUACACCUACGGGUGGCAGCAACCGGGAAUAUUGCGCAAUGGGGGAAACCCUGACGCAGCGACGCCGCGUGAUGGAAGAAGGCCUAUGGGUCGUAAACAUCUUUUGCUAAGCCGUUCACAGCUUAGAGAAUAAGCCUCUACUAACUACGUGCCAGAAGUCUCGGUAAUACGUAGGAGGCAAGCAUUAUCCGGAUUUAUUGGGCGUAAAGUGUGCGUAGGCGGAUCGGUGUGUCUUAUCUUAAAGACCAAGGCUUAACCUUGGAUUUGGAUAAGAAACUACCGAACUUGAGGAUUGAUCAGGAUGCUAGAACAGUUAGUGUAGCAGUGAAGUGCGUUGAUAUUAACUGGAAUACCAAAGGCGAAGGCAGGCAUCUGGGUUUUUCCUGACGCUGAGGCACGAAAGCUGGGGUAGCGAAACAGAUUAGAUACCUGUGUAGUCCUAGCUGUAAACGAUGUCCGCUAGAUUUUUGGCGCAAGCUAAGAGUCGCAAGUUAACACGUUAAGCGGACCGCCUGGGGAGUACGGCCGCAAGGCUAAAACUCAAAGGAAUUGACGGGGACCCGCACAACCUGUGGAGCGUGUGGUUCAAUUCGAGACAAAACGAAGAACCUCACCAGGGUUUGACACACUACCGUUUAUGCUUCUGGAAACAUUUGCAAAUCCGUAAGGAUGGUAGUACAGGUGCUGCAUGGCUGUCGUCAGCUCGUGCCGUGAGGUGUUCCCUUAAGUGGGGAAACGAGCGCAACCCGCGCCAAAUGUUAAAUUGUUCAUUUGGGACUAUCCGUGUUUUACACGGGAGGAAGGAGCGGCGGAUGUCAAGUCAGCAUGGCCCUUAUACCCUGGGCAACACACACACUACAAUGGCGAAAAACAGCGUGUCGCUAGCUAGCAAUAGUAAGCUAAUCACUUAAAUUUCGCCUCAGUUCAGAUUGAGGUCUGCAACCCGACCUCAUGAAGCCGGAAUAGGUAGUAAUCGCGGAUCAGCAAGCCGCGGUGAAUACGUUCUCGGGUCUUGUACACACCGCCCGUCAAGGCAGCAAAGUCGGUAGCUAUCGAAGGCUCCUUUUGGGGACGAGAUAGAGAUCGGCGAUGAAGCUU